AGCAGGCAACCAGUGAUGGUCGGAGCAGGCAACCAGUGAUGGUCGUAGCAGGCAACCAGUGAUGGUCGUAGGAGGCGAUGUAUUGGAUCGGCUUGUCGGACAGCUCGGGGGUUUGGUUGAGUUGAAUGUGAUCGUGCCCCGACAGCGUGGAUAGUUUCCUAUAAUAUCAAUCACUGGCUUCUCUGAUCACUAAAUUGUCUACCCGUCGUCACAGAGAUAGACAAUUGCGGCAUUAAACAACUACCAACAAACGAACAAAGCUAUAUGGGUGUGACAUUGCAGGUUCGACGUCAUAACUGAACUUAUUCGCUCUUUUUUGUAGGUUCUAUACCCUGGUUGAUCGUGGCCGAAUUGUUCUCCCAAGGGGCAAGAUCGUCCGCCAUCAGUGUCUCUGUCCUCGUCAAAUGGGUGGCGAACUUCUGCGUUGGUUAUGGCUUCCCUCAUAUGCAGAAAGGACUGAUGAGUUUUUCGUUCUUGCCCUUCACUGUUCUGCUCGUGCUGUUCUGGAUAUUCCUAUUUAUGUUCCUGCCAGAAACGAAAGGCAGAACAAUCGAGGAAAUCUCAUCAGAAUGGAAACAAGACAGAAUCACAGGACAAAGUUUCAGAUCGGAGAGCUAUUCGGUUUCUUUUAAGAAAAACACAAAUGCCGUUUAGUCAAAUAAAUAACUCUUAAAAUAUA